rnacentral:rRNA from 1 species
UACAGAGGUCUCAAGCGUUGUUCGGAAUUACUGGGCGUAAAGGGUGCGCAGGCCGCGCGGGCAGUCAAAUGUGUAAUUCAGGGGCUCAACCCCUGCACUGCGCUUGAUACUUCCGCGCUAGAACUUUGGAGAGGAGUCUGGAAUUCUCGGUGUAGCAGUGAAAUGCGUGGAUAUCGAGAAGAACACUAACGGCGUAAGCAAGACUCUGGACAAAUGUUGACGCUCAAGCAACGAAGGCUAGGGUAGCGAACGGG